GGGGUCCGUAAGGGUCCUGCACAGGUGGUGCAUGGCUGUCGUCAGCUCGUGUCGUGAGAUGUUGGGUUAAGUCCCGCAACGAGCGCAACCCACGUCCUAUGUUGCCAGCGAGUAAUGUCGGGGACUCAUAGGAGACUGCCGGGGUCAACUCGGAGGAAGGUGGGGAUGACGUCAAGUCGUGUCGUGAGAUGUUGGGUUAAGAUAUCGCAGCCUCCCACGUCCUUCAUCGGCUCCUGGUGCCAAGGCAUCCACCGUGCGCCCUUAAUAACUUGGCCACAAAGAUGCUCGCGUCCACUGUGCAGUUCUCAACGUACGGACGGACACCAGCCGCACCAGCAAGACUCACCCGUCCAACGACAAGCAGUAUCCUGCGACGACCAGCCCGCACCACCCUCGCGAACACCCCCACCCUCCACAGAGGAC
rnacentral:sRNA from 1 species